UACGGAGGAUGCGAGCGUUAUCCGGAUUUAUUGGGUUUAAAGGGUGCGUAGGCGGGAGAUCAAGUCAGCGGUCAAAUCGUGGGGCUCAACCCCAUCCAGCCGUUGAAACUGGCGUUCUUGAGUGGGCGAGAAGUAUGCGGAAUGCGUGGUGUAGCGGUGAAAUGCAUAGAUAUCACGCAGAACUCCGAUUGCGAAGGCAGCAUACCGGCGCCCUACUGACGCUCAUGCACGAAAGCGUGGGUAUCGAACAGG
rnacentral:rRNA from 1 species